rnacentral:tRNA from 1 species
GGAAAGGUGCUCGAGUGGUUGAAGAGGCACGCCUGGAAAGCGUGUAAACUCCUAAAGGGUUUCACGGGUUCGAAUCCCGUCCUUUCCGCAA